AUGUGAUGUUAAACAACUGCCUCUGAUAGUUUCACAAACAUACUGGGGAUUAAACUGUUUGUAAAGAGCAAGUUCUAAGUUAGGUUAAAAAAAAAAAAAAAAGCUGUGUGAGUGCAGGUUUCCAGAAAACUACCAAAUACGUCAAAUAAUGACAAUUCCCCGGGGAUAAGUCUUAGUGAGUUAUGAACCCAUUAUGCCCACUUCAGUGGCUGCAAGGCUGCUGGUUUUCACAGUGACUGUGAUUUGUGUCAGAUGGUUUUUAAGGUUACUUACUGUGGAGCUGGGUGGGGGAGAUGGAAAUAGGGCUACUUAAGCUACUACAAAUCUCCUUCUCUCUGAAAUUCACCCAUUUGUCUUGAAAAACACUAUGGCUAUUUUUAAUCUUGGAUUAAUAUUCAGAAUUCUGAAAAUUGGGAAUCUGAUAUUAUUUGCCAGUGUUGUAACUGCUUUUAGAGGAGGAGUGGGUUUUUGCUUACUUCACCAUUCCCACUUCCUAGGAUCCUAGCUUUGAAAGCACCAGUUUAUAAGCAUGGGAACAUUGGUUACAUGUGGGUUAAACAUUUUAAAUGUAACCCUUAAGUAUACGUACAUGCAGAGGUUUAUAUUCGAUUUAAUUCAAAAUCACAAUGUAUUAAAAAAAAAAUCACAAUGUAUUUAAGUCAAAAUUAUCAUUUCUUUGUUACCCAUAGUAUUUUUAUGAUUAAAAAUUCUCCAAGAAUCCUAAUAUUUUCUUCUAUUUAUAACUUGCUUUUUGCAUUUAACUAUGGUACAUCUGAAAAGUGACUGGCGUCAUUACUUACAUAUAUAUAUAUAUAUAUAUAAUGUAUUUGUGUGAAAGAAUAAAACAAAACAUCUAUCAACAUUUAAUGUAUUCUUAAUUUCCCUAUAAUUUUGUAAUGCCCUCUUUAUUUUAUAAUUAUUAAUCUCUCUUCUGAGUUAUCUAUUUGAUUAUUCAACAAUGUCAUGUUUCAAUUUCCCCACUUUAUCACCUUUGACUUAAAGUUUAUCUUUAAUGCGUGAUCAUCAAAAGAUUGAAUUAACUUGGAUGAAAUUAGGAAGCAGUAAAUGAAACCUGCAAAACACUCUUCAAACUUAAUAUAGAUCUCAAAGCUUUGAUUUUUAGGUAUCUAUAUUUAAUCACUUAAAAGUUAACAAAUGUUCCUGGGAAAUGUGAUUUGGCAUCAUGGACAAGACAAAAAAGUGUUACGUUGUGAAAUAAUGAGAUGCUGUAACUUACUGGGAAGCUAAGGCUUCAGAACCUGGCAUGAGAUGAAUGCCAGCUACAUCACCUAUCUCUUCAGAUAUUGGGUGAACUCCUUUCCCUAAGUGUUGCUUCCAGUUUUAAGGAGGAAUAAAAGACUUGCUACAGGAAAUUCCUGUAAGAAUGAAGUGAGAUACAUGGCCCAAUACAUGAGCAUCCUAAACAUUAAUCACCAUUAAAUUCUCCCCGUGAGGCCCAUCUGACAAAGACGGAAAGAGCCAACUGCAACAACAGCUGCUAAUCAAAUAAAGUGAAAAAAGAGAUGAAGCAAGAGAGACUACAAUUAGUUCAGGAGUGAUUCUAGGAAAGUAUCUUUCUUGCCUUUUCUUCCUAUCAUUCUAUAUCCAGUUUACUGUAAGACAACACGUUAACAUUUUUCCCUCCAAAGUAAUAUUAUCCUUACAUUUAUGAAGUUAUAAAGACUAGAUCCAUGUAUUUCUGGUUUAAAACAUAACUUGGUGGCAAAAUGGCUAAAUGGGAAUAACAAAUUUUGAAAAAAAAUUUCAAAAUAAAAUUCCAAACUUAAGGUCUGUCAAUUCAGAAUUGGGUAAAAGACAGUCUGUGUUACUUAAACAUAACUCUGAAUUAUAAAAUAAUGUUUCCUUUCUUCAGUUGUAGGAAGAGCAGUGAAGUGAUUGUUUUGUGAGGCUCUUGACAAACCAAAUUGAUGUGAAUCAUAAACAUCACUUGCUGUUAAUAGAGGUUUUUUUGGAUUCUGGCUAAAUUUUAACACUGCCUAUUUGUUUUGGUCAUUCCCAAAUAUUAUCAUAAAGUCCCUAGUGCCCUGCCCAGAGAUGUCUGCAUCUUCAUCCUUUGAACCUGUAAAAAUGCUACCUUAUGUUGAUAAAGGGACUGUGUAGACAUGAUUAGGGCUACAGACUUUGAGAUGAGGAGUUUCCUGGAUUAUCUAGGUGGGCCUAAUAUAAACACAUAAAUCCUUAAAAGCAGAGAAUUCUUCCCAGCUGAGUUCAAAGCAAGCAAUGUACCAAGAGGAGAGAACCUGACAGAGGGCAGUGUGAAAAGGACUCACCUGCUGCUGCCAGCUUUGAAGAUGGAGGAACAGAGAUGUCAAAAGUAAGGAAAGGCAAGGAGGCAACUUUUUACUGCAGCCUCCAGAUAAGAACAGCCCUACCCACGCUUUGAUCUUAGUGAAGUAAGACAGUAUCAGAUUUCUGACCUACAGAACUCUAAGAUAAUAAAUUUGCAUUGCUUUAGGCCAUUAAAUUUGUGGUAAUUUGUCACAGCAGCAAUAGAAAAUGAAUACAGAUUGAUCUUCCACUAGUCAUGUCCGAAGUUGGAAGUACACUGGUACCCGGUACUGUUCUACUGACUUCCAGCUCCAUAGCACUUCGGACCUCAAUGUCUCCACACUAGUCAUGUAUUUAUUUAAUAAAUAUUCCACAGAUCAGACAGGUUGCAGAUGCUAGAUCUUUGACAUACUUUUCCAUUUAUCCCAUUGCAUCCAAAAUAUCCUAAGUACAUACCCAGUUAUCAGUUAUUAAGAUAAAUGAAUGAAAAGGCAACAUCUGAUAGAAGUAUUUUAAAAACAGCAACUGUUUACAGGAUGCUUAUUAUGUUCCAAACACUUUCUAUUAGUAUUCCCUAUUUUCACAGUCAAUUGCAAGAUAGUUAUUAUUAUAAACAUCUUUGAGGUAUAACAAUUGUGGCUUUAACAAAUACAAUUUUCCCU
rnacentral:lncRNA from 1 species